rnacentral:lncRNA from 1 species
CUCACUCAGUGACACGACAUUAUUAUAGUCUCUUGUCCUUUCAAUUUAUUCCAUAAGCUAAUAAAGCACUCCCUAGCGUCUUCUUUGUUCACAAAUUUGGGUGAGUUCAUAAGUCAUUAUGUUAUUCUAUUUCUAUUUAAUUCUUUGUUCAAAUUUCCGAAACUCUAAUAGUUCGACCCUUUUUCUUGAAGCUUUAGUUUUUCUCCUUUGUGAGUUACUCUUCACGAUGAUUUAGAGGUCGAUUGGAAGUAAAGCGGCGUUUUCACGGUGGUUUAGAGGUUGCUAGGAAGUAAAGCGGUG